rnacentral:rRNA from 1 species
AUUGAACGCUGGCGGCAGGCCUAACACAUGCAAGUCGAACGAGUGGCGGACGGGUGAGUAAUGUCUGGGAAACUGCCCGAUGGAGGGGGAUAACUACUGGAAACGGUAGCUAAUACCGCAUACCAUCGGAUGUGCCCAGAUGGGAUUAGCGAGUCGGUUGGGUAAAGGCUCACCUAGGCGACGCUCCCUAGCUGGUCUGAGAGGAUGACCAGCCACACUGGAACUGGGACACGGUCCAGACUCCUACGGGAGGCAUCAGUGGGGAAUAUUGCACAAUGGGCGCCAUCCUGAUGCAGCCAUGCCGCGUGUAUGAAGAAGGCCUUCGGGUUGUAAAGUACUUUCAGCGUGGAGGCGUUACUCGCAGAAGAAGCACCGGCUAACUCCGUGCCAGCAGCCGCGGUAAUAC